CAACCCUCAAGCCCUAGUUGCUUGGUGUUGGGGUCUUCUACAGUGUCCUGUAGGCCCCUAAAAAUAGUGGCGGACUCGCUGAAGCUCCGAGCGUAGUAAUUGUUCUCGCUUAGGAUGCUGUAGUGAGCUUUCCGGCUGUUAAACCCCCUAUAUAUUUUGAAA
rnacentral:misc_RNA from 1 species